rnacentral:rRNA from 1 species
GACGAACGCUGGCGGCGUGCCUAAUACAUGCAAGUCGAACGCACGAAGUUGAAGAGCUUGCUCUUUAACCAAUUGAGUGGCGGACGGGUGAGUAACGCGUGGGUAACCUGCCCAUUAGAGGGGGAUAACAUUCGGAAACGGAUGCUAAUACCGCAUAGUUUCAGGGAUCGCAUGAUUCUUGAAGGAAAGGUGGCUCCGGCUACCACUAAUGGAUGGACCCGCGGCGUAUUAGCUAGUUGGUGAGGUAAUGGCUCACCAAGGCAAUGAUACGUAGCCGACCUGAGAGGGUGAUCGGCCACACUGGGACUGAGACACGGCCCAGACUCCUACGGGAGGCAGCAGUAGGGAAUCUUCCGCAAUGGACGAAAGUCUGACGGAGCAACGCCGCGUGAGUGAAGAAGGUUUUCGGAUCGUAAAACUCUGUUGUUAAAGAAGAACAAGGAUGAGAGUAACUGCUCAUCCCCUGACGGUAUUUAACCAGAAAGCCACGGCUAACUACGUGCCAGCAGCCGCGGUAAUACGUAGGUGGCAAGCGUUGUCCGGAUUUAUUGGGCGUAAAGCGAGCGCAGGCGGUUCUUUAAGUCUGAUGUGAGAGCCCCCGGCUCAACCGGGGAGGGUCAUUGGAAACUGGAGAACUUGAGUGCAGAAGAGGAGAGUGGAAUUCCACGUGUAGCGGUGAAAUGCGUAGAUAUGUGGAGGAACACCAGUGGCGAAGGCGACUCUCUGGUCUGUAACUGACGCUGAGGCUCGAAAGCGUGGGGAGCAAACAGG